UGUGGGAGCGGGCUUGCUCGCGAAUGCGCCGGGUCAGUUCAUACGUUGUUGACUGACACUCCGUAUUCGCGAGCAAGCCCGCUCCCACA
rnacentral:misc_RNA from 1 species